UUGUUUGUUUGUGUUUUUUCUUAUUUAUCCUAUAAAUCUAUAUAAUCCUUCUUCCUUUGCUCCCAUCCUAAAGAUCUUUCCUUCUGUGUCUACUACAUCAACAACCUGUAACCGCAACUAACCCGAGCUUCAUGUGCUUCUUUUGUGACCAUCAUCGUCUUCUUCUUCUUCUUCUUCUUUAUCUCUUAUAACAUCUAUCACCGUAGCAUUGCAGAAAAAACAUCUCUGACAGUUGAGAAGAUGUCUAGUUAUGCAGCCAUAACAUGAUCG